rnacentral:rRNA from 1 species
UACGGGGGGGGCAAGCGUUGUUCGGAAUUACUGGGCGUAAAGGGCUCGUAGGCGGCCAACUAAGUCGGAUGUGAAAUCCCCAGGCUUAACCUGGGAACUGCAUCCGAUACUGGAUGGCUUGAAUCCGGGAGAGGGAUGCAGAAUUCCAGGUGUAGCGGUGAAAUGCGUAGAUAUCUGGAGGAAUACCGGUGGCGAAGGCGGCUACCUGGCCCAACAUUGACGCUGAGAUCCGAAAGCGUGGGGAUCAAACAGG